UCAGCUUCUGUGUUUAUCUCUGGAUGCACCAAACCCAGAUUUUUGGGGUUCUGCCUAAUACCGAACCCUACUCCCAUCCUCAGUCCAUUAAUGAUGUAAACAAUGUCCACAGCAGUGCAUUAUUCAUUAUCUUUUAACUGUAA